rnacentral:lncRNA from 1 species
AAUAACACUAACUGUGGGUGAUUCAUAAUUUCCAUCUUCCCUCCAAACUAGGGAUUUUGCAAUCAGAUUUUUACUGACGAAUUCUCAGUAGGAGUUUUAUAAUUGAUUCCAGAGAACAAAUCAAGAAAUUCAUAGCAAAACUCUGAAAUAUUAAUAUUGUUUCCUUUCAAACAAUUCAGGAAGAAUGGCUGGAUUAAAAUAUGUCGGUUGCAGAAAGAGAAAAAAAACCCGUGAAACUAUUCUAUAGCCUGUUCCUUCUCCCUAAUGUUUGGAAAAUGACAUGUGCGAAGGUGUUCAUCUGCCAGCCAGGAGCAGAGCCCUCACCAGAGACCAGGCUCUGCGGGACCUUGGUUUGCACUUUCCAACCCCGACAACUGGAAGAACGUAAGAACCUGUCACUGAAGCCAGCCCGUCCACGGCAUUUUCAUGUGGGAACCAAACAGGCCUGGAAGAUUUUGAGCAAAUGCAACCUACAGAAAUCCCAAGAAGUGUCAUCAGGGACAGAAGACCAUUCUUUGCCACUAGAUGAGAGCCACACAACUAAGUCACCUCUCCAGCUGAAAAGCCCGUGCCUGCUCCUUCCUCGGGCAAGCCCAGCUUUGGUGCAGGGUCCUCAAAGGCUGACACUUGUGGGAAGGAGCCAGGAAGGCCAUCGAGGUCCUGUGGACAGGCAGGCGCCAGGUUUGUGUGUUCCUGCCUGCGGGUCAGCAUAUCCUAUAAUGUUUUCAGGAAUCAUAUUUUGCUGCUCCUCCUGUCUUGUAGCAUUUCUAAUUAAAGUACCUGCUUGUCUGAACAGGUUUUCUGAGCCUUCGAAAGACACUUUUGUGUUUAUUUUCCUUCAUUUGUAUUUUUAGUGCCAUUUUUGAUCUUGCCUUCAGCGAAGUAGGAAUACAGGAUGCUUGGGCACAGGGCUGCUAAAGGGCCUGCGGAGUGUCUGGCUACUGCAGGGAUGGGGGACAGCUGCUGAAGGGAGGG